ACUUGGCAUUUGGAUAAUUGCAAGAGAGCAUAACACUUAGUGCAACACCUGAAUAUACAUACGAUAUAAUACUGGUGGAGAGCUCGCAUUCAGGAAGUGCAGAGCUUCCUCAUAAUUGUGAUAUCUCAACAGAUCACAUUACAGACAUUUGACACACAGGUCUAAGAAACACGUGUAACUACACUAACAUUUGGGAUAUUUGAGGUACUUGGCAUGAAUAAUUUCGGCCAUCAACAUCAUCGCAACUUAGCUCGGUUCAUUCUCUUUACUCUGGAACAAGGUCAAUCUUAUUUGUUCUGACCUGUCUGCUCUAGGGAUCUUGGAGCUGCAGGCAGAUGGACACAUCUAGUUCAGAGCAUGUUUGUAAUCCAAAGUUACACCUAAUGAUAUGACCUACACAAACCUAAUGUUCAGGUAUACAGGUUAAACAGUCAAUGUGUUGGUAGCUGAUGGUGAAAGUACAUUAUAAGUUGAUGAAGUUUCAGGUCCCAACAGAUCCCAGCUAUAGGUUUCUGUCAGCCA
rnacentral:lncRNA from 1 species